AUUGAACGCUGGCGGCAGGCCUAACACAUGCAAGUCGAGCGAGCGGCGGACGGGUGAGUAAUGUCUGGGAAACUGCCCGAUGGAGGGGGAUAACUACUGGAAACGGUAGCUAAUACCGCAUACCAUCAGAUGUACCCAUAUGGGAUUAGCUGGUAGGUGGGGUAAAGGCUCACCUAGGCGACGAUCCCUAGCUGGUCUGAGAGGAUGACCAGCCACACUGGGACUGAGACACGGUCCAGACUCCUACGGGAGGCAGCAGUGGGGAAUAUUGCACAAUGGGCGCAAGCCUGAUGCAGCCAUGCCGCGUGUAUGAAGAAGGCCUUAGGGUUGUAAAGUACUUUCAGCGGGGAGGCGUUACCCGCAGAAGAAGCACCGGCUAACUCCGUGCCAGCAGCCGCGGUAAUAC
rnacentral:rRNA from 1 species